CAUCAGGUAUGCACGGGUUGUAAAACAGUUAAAAGAACUUUAACGUAUAAGAACAUUAAAACAACGUAAAGGAUGAUAGAUUUAUCUCAGUACCGUAUAGUUUCAAACAAUCGGCUAUGGUAAGAGACUUUGCGAAAAAGGCGCAAAAAGAACUUGCCUUUAAGAGGCGGCCUACAUUAGUCAAUUCUUUGCGCAAUGAGAAAGAUCGAAGAAAAGAGGGAGAGAAAUCAGGAGUUUAUGUGAUUCCUCUAGAAUAUCUGCAAGAGAGGAAGCCCGCAGAGUAUAUUAGGGUCACUACUAGGACGCUCGAUCAACGAAUACAAGAACAUAAGAGGGAUAUCAAAGCAGGAAGGAUUACUACAGCACUGUCUGAAGAAGCAUUUUCUGAGCAGGUACAUAUAGA
rnacentral:lncRNA from 1 species